rnacentral:rRNA from 2 species
GUACAAGGUAACCAGAAGCUUGCUUCUAUGACGUUAGCGGCGGACGGGUGAGUAACACGUGGGCAACCUGCCUGUAAGACUGGGAUAACUUCCGGAAACCGAAGCUAAUACCGGAUAGGAUCUUCUCCUUCAUGGGAGAUGAUUGAAAGAUGGUUUCGGCUAUCACUUACAGAUGGGCCCGCGGUGCAUUAGCUAGUUGGUGAGGUAACGGCUCACCAAGGCAACGAUGCAUAGCCGACCUGAGAGGGUGAUCGGCCACACUGGGACUGAGACACGGCCCAGACUCCUACGGGAGGCAGCAGUAGGGAAUCUUCCGCAAUGGACGAAAGUCUGACGGAGCAACGCCGCGUGAGUGAUGAAGGCUUUCGGGUCGUAAAACUCUGUUGUUAGGGAAGAACAAGUACGAGAGUAACUGCUCGUACCUUGACGGUACCUAACCAGAAAGCCACGGCUAACUACGUGCCAGCAGCCGCGGUAAUACGUAGGUGGCAAGCGUUAUCCGGAAUUAUUGGGCGUAAAGCGCGCGCAGGCGGUUUCUUAAGUCUGAUGUGAAAGCCCACGGCUCAACCGUGGAGGGUCAUUGGAAACUGGGGAACUUGAGUGCAGAAGAGAAAAGCGGAAUUCCACGUGUAGCGGUGAAAUGCGUAGAGAUGUGGAGGAACACCAGUGGCGAAGGCGGCUUUUUGGUCUGUAACUGACGCUGAGGCGCGAAAGCGUGGGGAGCAAACAGGAUUAGAUACCCUGGUAGUCCACGCCGUACACGAUGAGUGCUAAGUGUUAGAGGGUUUCCGCCCUUUAGUGCUGCAGCUAACGCAUUAAGCACUCCGCCUGGGGAGUACGGUCGCAAGACUGAAACUCAAAGGAAUUGACGGGGGCCCGCACAAGCGGUGGAUCAUGUGGUUUAAUUCGAAGCAACGCGAAGAACCUUACCAGGUCUUGACAUCCUCUGACAACUCUAGAGAUACAUCGUUCCCCUUCGGGGGACAGAAUGACAGGUGGUGCAUGGUUGUCGUCAGCUCGUGUCGGGAGAUGUUGGGUUAAGUCCCGCAACGAGCGCAACCCUUGAUCUUAGUUGCCAGCAUUUAGUUGGGCACUCUAAGGUGAC